rnacentral:rRNA from 1 species
AGCGAACGCUGGCGGCAGGCUUAACACAUGCAAGUCGAGCGGGCACUUUCGGGUGUCAGCGGCGGACGGGUGAGUAACGCGUGGGAACGUGCCCUCUGGUUCGGAAUAACUCAGGGAAACUUGAGCUAAUACCGGAUACGCCCUCUUGGGGAAAGGCUUGGUUCCGGGGGAUGGGCCCGCGGCUGAUUAGCUAGGUGGUGGGGUAACGGCUCACCAAGGCGAUGACGGGGAGCUGGCCUGAGAGGGUGAUCAGCCACACGGGGACGGAGAGACGGCCCAGACUACUACGGGAGGCAGCAGGGGGGAAUAUGGCACAAGGGGCGGGAGCCGGAUGCAGAAAAGCCGCGUGCGGGAUGACGGCCUUCGGGUUGGAAAGCGCAGUCGCCUGUGACGAAGCGGGAGUGACGGGAAUGGGUAAAGAAGCACCGGCGAACUACGUG